AUUGAACGCUGGCGGCAGGCCUAACACAUGCAAGUCGAGCGGAUGAGAAGAGCUUGCUCUUCGAGUUAGCGGCGGACGGGUGAGUAAUGCCUAGGAAUCUGCCUGGUAGCGGGGGACAACGUUUCGAAAGGAACGCUAAUACCGCAUACGUCCUACGGGAGAAAGCAGGGGACCUUCGGGCCUUGCGCUAUCAGAUGAGCCUAGGUCGGAUUAGCUAGUUGGUGAGGUAAUGGCUCACCAAGGCGACGAUCCGUAACUGGUCUGAGAGGAUGAUCAGUCACACUGGAACUGAGACACGGUCCAGACUCCUACGGGAGGCAGCAGUGGGGAAUAUUGGACAAUGGGCGAAAGCCUGAUCCAGCCAUGCCGCGUGUGUGAAGAAGGUCUUCGGAUUGUAAAGCACUUUAAGUUGGGAGGAAGGGCAGUAAGCGAAUACCUUGCUGUUUUGACGUUACCGACAGAAUAAGCACCGGCUAACUCUGUGCCAGCAGCCGCCGUAACAC
rnacentral:rRNA from 1 species